rnacentral:rRNA from 1 species
UACGAAGGGGGCUAGCGUUGCUCGGAAUCACUGGGCGUAAAGGGUGCGUAGGCGGGUCUUUAAGUCAGGGGUGAAAUCCUGGAGCUCAACUCCAGAACUGCCUUUGAUACUGGCGAUCUUGAGUCCGGGAGAGGUGAGUGGAACUGCGAGUGUAGAGGUGAAAUUCGUAGAUAUUCGCAAGAACACCAGUGGCGAAGGCGGCUCACUGGCCCGAUACUGACGCUGAGGCACGAAAGCGUGGGGAGCAAACAGG